rnacentral:rRNA from 1 species
GACGAACGCUGGCGGCGUGCCUAACACAUGCAAGUCGAGCGAGUGAAUCUCCUUCGGGAGUGAAGCUAGCGGCGGACGGGUGAGUAACACGUGGGCAACCUGCCUCAUAGAGGGGAAUAGCCUUCCGAAAGGAAGAUUAAUACCGCAUAAGAUUGCAGCUUCGCAUGAAGUAGCAAUUAAAGGAGCAAUCCGCUAUGAGAUGGGCCCGCGGCGCAUUAGCUAGUUGGUGAGGGAACGGCCCAGCAAGGCGACGAUGCGUAGCCGACCCGAGAGGGUGAACAGCACCAUUGGGACUGAGACACGGCCCAAACGCCUACGGGAGGCAGCCGUGGGGAAUAUUGCACAAUGGGGGAAACCCUGAUGCAGCAACGCCGCGUGAGUGAUGACGGCCUUCGGGUUGUAAAGCUCUGUCUUCAGGGACGAUAAUGACGGUACCUGAGGAGGAAGCCACGGCUAACUACGUGCCAGCCGCCGCGGUAAAAC